AAGUCGUAACAAGGUAACCGUAGGUGAACCUGCGGUUGGAUCAUUAACAAAUUUUAAAAUUGAGUUUCGAUCUUUCGAACUCUUUUUUUUCCACACCUGUUGAACUUUACCAUUGUUAUCGUCUUUUGGUAUUUUGGGAUUAGGGUUUUCCGACCUUUUUAUCAAUAUGCCAACUGACACAAAUCUCUUUCUGAUUCUCAAAAGAAAUUUAAAACUUCUUUUGAGGGUUUUUGGGAGGUUUCAAAUUUAAACAUUAUUCAAAUCUUACUGGCCUUAAAAAAAGAAAUUUUUAAAAUUUAAAAACAACUUUUGACAACGGAUCUCUAGGCUUCCA
rnacentral:misc_RNA from 1 species